UGAGGAAUAUUGGGCAAUGGGCGCAAGCCUGACCCAGCAACGCCGCGUGAAGGAAGAAGGCUUUCGGGUUGUAAACUUCUUUUCUCAGGGACGAAGCAAGUGACGGUACCUGAGGAAUAAGCCACGGCUAACUACGUGCCAGCAGCCGCGGUAAUACGUAGGUGGCAAGCGUUAUCCGGAUUUACUGGGUGUAAAGGGCGUGUAGGCGGGAAAGCAAGUCAGAUGUGAAAACCAUGGGCUCAAACCUGUGGCCUGCAUUUGAAACUGUUUUUCUUGAGUACUGGAGAGGCAGACGGAAUUCCUAGUGUAGCGGUGAAAUGCGUAGAUAUUAGGAGGAACACCAGUGGCGAAGGCGGUCUGCUGGACAGCAACUGACGCUGAGGCGCGAAAGCGUGGGGAGCAAACAGGAUUAGAUACCC
rnacentral:rRNA from 1 species